AGAGUUUGAUCAUGGCUCAGAUUGAACGCUGGCGGCAGGCCUAACACAUGCAAGUCGAACGGUAACAGGAAGCAGCUUGCUGCUUUGCUGACGAGUGGCGGACGGGUGAGUAAUGUCUGGGAAACUGCCUGAUGGAGGGGGAUAACUACUGGAAACGGUAGCUAAUACCGCAUAACGUCGCAAGACCAAAGAGGGGGACCUUAGGGCCUCUUGCCAUCGGAUGUGCCCAGAUGGGAUUAGCUAGUAGGUGGGGUAAUGGCUCACCUAGGCGACGAUCCCUAGCUGGUCUGAGAGGAUGACCAGCCACACUGGAACUGAGACACGGUCCAGACUCCUACGGGAGGCAGCAGUGGGGAAUAUUGCACAAUGGGCGCAAGCCUGAUGCAGCCAUGCCGCGUGUGUGAAGAAGGCCUUCGGGUUGUAAAGCACUUUCAGCGGGGAGGAAGGCGGUGAGGUUAAUAACCUCAUCGAUUGACGUUACCCGCAGAAGAAGCACCGGCUAACUCCGUGCCAGCAGCCGCGGUAAUACGGAGGGUGCAAGCGUUAAUCGGAAUUACUGGGCGUAAAGCGCACGCAGGCGGUCUGUCAAGUCGGAUGUGAAAUCCCCGGGCUCAACCUGGGAACUGCAUUCGAAACUGGCAGGCUAGAGUCUUGUAGAGGGGGGUAGAAUUCCAGGUGUAGCGGUGAAAUGCGUAGAGAUCUGGAGGAAUACCGGUGGCGAAGGCGGCCCCCUGGACAAAGACUGACGCUCAGGUGCGAAAGCGUGGGGAGCAAACAGGAUUAGAUACCCUGGUAGUCCACGCCGUAAACGAUGUCGACUUGGAGGUUGUGCCCUUGAGGCGUGGCUUCCGGAGCUAACGUGUUAAGUCGACCGCCUGGGGAGUACGGCCGCAAGGUUAAAACUCAAAUGAAUUGACGGGGGCCCGCACAAGCGGUGGAGCAUGUGGUUUAAUUCGAUGCAACGCGAAGAACCUUACCUGGUCUUGACAUCCACGGAAGUUUUCAGAGAUGAGAAUGUGCCUUCGGGAACCGUGAGACAGGUGCUGCAUGGCUGUCGUCAGCUCGUGUUGUGAAAUGUUGGGUUAAGUCCCGCAACGAGCGCAACCCUUAUCCUUUGUUGCCAGCGGUCCGGCCGGGAACUCAAAGGAGACUGCCAGUGAUAAACUGGAGGAAGGUGGGGAUGACGUCAAGUCAUCAUGGCCCUUACGACCAGGGCUACACACGUGCUACAAUGGCGCAUACAAAGAGAAGCGACCUCGCGAGAGCAAGCGGACCUCAUAAAGUGCGUCGUAGUCCGGAUUGGAGUCUGCAACUCGACUCCAUGAAGUCGGAAUCGCUAGUAAUCGUGGAUCAGAAUGCCACGGUGAAUACGUUCCCGGGCCUUGUACACACCGCCCGUCACACCAUGGGAGUGGGUUGCAAAAGAAGUAGGUAGCUUAACCUUCGGGAGGGCGCUUACCACUUUGUGAUUCAUGACUGGGGUGAAGUCGUAACAAGGUAACCGUAGGGGAACCUGCGGUUGGAUCACCU
rnacentral:rRNA from 1 species